UCUGGGCAGAGCUGCAGGAGAGGAGGGCAGGGCCGGACAUCUCUGCCACCCUGCCACCUGCCCUGUCUGUUCUGCCCACAG
ensembl:miRNA Mir1231 microRNA 1231